UCCAGGGUAGCCUAGGACAUGGCAUCUGGCCGGUAAGCGGAACACUGUGGGUUCGAUUCCCAUCCCUGGAC